rnacentral:rRNA from 1 species
AGUGAACGCUGGCGGCGGGCUUAACACAUGCAAGUCGAGCGGCAGCACAGUAAGAUCUUGCUCUUCUGGGUGGCGAGUGGCGGACGGGUGAGGAAUAUAUCGGAAUCUACUUUUUCGUGGGGGUUCAGGUAGGGAAAAUUACGAUCAUAUAGCAUACGAUCUUCGGGGGUAAGCAGGGGAUCUUUUGGGCUUGUGCGGUUGAAUGCGCGGCUGUUGGAUUAGCUAGUUGGCGGGGUACAGGCCCAUCAAGGCGCGGAUCCGUAGCCGGUCUGAGUGGAUGAUCAGCCACACUGGAGCUGAGACACGGUCCAGACUCCUACGAGAGGCAGCAGUGGGGAAUAUUAGACAAUAGGCGCGAGCCUGAUCCAGCCAUACCACGUGGGAGAAAAAAACCUUCGGGUUGUAAAGCCCUUUUGUUGGGAGAAAAAAGCAGCAGGUUAAUACCCCGCUGUUCUGACGGUACCCAAAGAAGAAGCACCGGCUAACUACGUG